rnacentral:rRNA from 1 species
CCCUUAGAUGUUCUGGGCCGCACGCGCGCUACACUGAUGCAUUCAACGAGCCUAUCCUUGACCGACAGGUCCGGGUAAUCUUUGAAUCUGCAUCGUGACGGGGAUAGAUUAUUGCAAUUAUUAAUCUUCAACGAGGAAUGCCUAGUAGGCGCAAGUCAUCAGCUUGCGUCGAUUACGUCCCUGCCCUUUGUACGCACCGCCCGUCGCUCCUACCGAUUGGGUGUGCUGGUGAAAUGUUCGGAUCGGCCGUUUGUCGCGGUUUCCGCGGCUCGUGGCUGAGAAGUUCAUUAAACCCUCCCACCUAGAGGAAGGAGAAGUCGUAACA